GGGAUGCGAUGGGUUAGUGUCCGAACUAUUUCUGUCCGCCAGCACAUGCUGGAAGCGAACGGUUGCCUUCGCCAUGCGGGUGCGGGGCAUGUCGUUUCUUCUUGCAUUGCGGUGUGUGAAUUGCAGAAUCCCGUGAAUCAUCGAAUCUUUGAACGCAAGUUGCGCCCGAGGCCUAGGCUGAGGGCACGUCUGCCUGGGUGUCG
rnacentral:rRNA from 1 species